AAGAACGACAGAACUUUAAAUAAACACAACAUUUUUAUUGUACAAAAGGGGCUGAGCAGUGUCAGGUGCUCUCCUGCACCUGCAGGGAACAGAGCAGCACUGGCAGUGCCCUGGCACAGUGCCCAAACCAACCCUUGGGUACCAAACCUGGGGCCCUUCCCUGUGCUCCCACCCCCUCAAGAAGAUGGGCACAGCCCCAGGUGCCCCUGUCCCCCCUUGGGAAGGUGGGCAGUGCCCCAGGUGCAGCUCCCACCCCCUCAGGAAGGUGGGCACAGCCCCAGGUGCCCCUGUGCUCUCUGGUGUAGGGCUGAGGUGGGACAAGAACGACAGGACUUUAAAUAAAAACAAGAAUUUUAUUGUACAAAAGGGGCUGAGCAGUGUCAGGUGCUCUCCUGCACCUGCAGGGAACAGAGCAGCACUGGCAGUGCCCUGGCACAGUGCCCAAACCAACCCUUGGAUACCAAAGCUGAGGCCCUUCCCUGUGCUUCCACCCCCUCAGGAAGGUGGGCAUGGGACAGGAACGACAGAACUUGAAAUAAACACAACAUUUUUAUUGUACAAAAGGG